UACGAAGGGGGCUAGCGUUGCUCGGAAUCACUGGGCGUAAAGCGCACGUAGGCGGAUUGCUAAGUCAGGGGUGAAAUCCUGGAGCUCAACUCCAGAACUGCCUUUGAUACUGGCGAUCUCGAGUCCGGGAGAGGUGAGUGGAACUGCGAGUGUAGAGGUGAAAUUCGUAGAUAUUCGCAAGAACACCAGUGGCGAAGGCGGCUCA
rnacentral:rRNA from 1 species